rnacentral:rRNA from 1 species
GAUGACCUUUGGGCGGCGUGCUUAACACAUGCAAGUCGAACGAAGCACUCUAUUUGAUUUUCUUCGGAAGUGAAUAUUUUGUGACUGAGUGGCGGACGGGUGAGUAACGCGUGGGUAACCUGCCUCAUACAGGGGGAUAACAGUUGGAAACGACUGCUAAUACCGCAUAAGCGCACAGGAUCGCAUGAUCCGGUGUGAAAAACUCCGGUGGUAUGAGAUGGACCCGCGUCUGAUUAGCCAGUUGGCAGGGUAACGGCCUACCAAAGCGACGAUCAGUAGCCGACCUGAGAGGUUGAACGGCCACAUUGGGACUGAGACACGGCCCAGACUCCUACGGGAGGCAGCAGUGGGGAAUAUUGCACAAUGGGGGAAACCCUGAUGCAGCGACGCCGCGUGGAGGAAGAAGGUCUUCGGAUUGUAAACUCCUGUUGUUGGGGAAGAUAAUGACGGUACCCAACAAGGAAGUGACGGCUAACUACGUGCCAGCAGCCGCGGUAAAACGUAGGUCACAAGCGUUGUCCGGAAUUACUGGGUGUAAAGGGAGCGCAGGCGGGAAGACAAGUUGGAAGUGAAAUCUAUGGGCUCAACCCAUAAACUGCUUUCAAAACUGUUUUUCUUGAGUAGUGCAGAGGUAGGCGGAAUUCCCGGUGUAGCGGUGGAAUGCGUAGAUAUCGGGAGGAACACCAGUGGCGAAGGCGGCCUACUGGGCACCAACUGACGCUGAGGCUCGAAAGUGUGGGUAGCAAACAGGAUUAGAUACCCUGGUAGUCCACACCGUAAACGAUGAUUACUAGGUGUUGGAGGAUUGACCCCUUCAGUGCCGCAGUUAACACAAUAAGUAAUCCACCUGGGGAGUACGACCGCAAGGUUGAAACUCAAAGGAAUUGACGGGGGCCCGCACAAGCAGUGGAGUAUGUGGUUUAAUUCGACGCAACGCGAAGAACCUUACCAAGUCUUGACAUCCCUUGACAGACAUAGAAAUAUGUAAUCUCUUCGGAGCAAGGAGACAGGUGGUGCAUGGUUGUCGUCAGCUCGUGUCGUGAGAUGUUGGGUUAAGUCCCGCAACGAGCGCAACCCUUAUGGUCAGUUACUACGCAAGAGGACUCUGGCCAGACUGCCGUUGACAAAACGGAGGAAGGUGGGGAUGACGUCAAAUCAUCAUGCCCUUUAUGACUUGGGCUACACACGUACUACAAUGGCGUUAAACAAAGAGAAGCAAGACCGCGAGGUGGAGCAAAACUCAGAAACAACGUCCCAGUUCGGACUGCAGGCUGCAACUCGCCUGCACGAAGUCGGAAUUGCUAGUAAUCGUGGAUCAGCAUGCCACGGUGAAUACGUUCCCGGGCCUUGUACU